rnacentral:rRNA from 1 species
UUAAUACAACCCUGUGCGGUGGAUCACUUGGCUCGCGAGUCGAUGAAGAGCGCAGCAAACUGCGUGAAUUAAUGUGAUUUGCAGGACACAUUGAUCAUCGAUAUCUUGAACGCAUAUUGCGGUUAUGGAUCGCUUCCAUGACCACGCCUGUCUGAGGGUCGGUAUU